rnacentral:rRNA from 1 species
GGUGCUUGCACUGGGGAUUAGUGGCGAACGGGUGAGUAACACGUGAGUAACCUGCCCUUAACUCUGGGAUAAGCCUUGGAAACGAGGUCUAAUACUGGAUAUUGACUUUUCCUCGCAUGGGGAUUGGUUGAAAGAUUUAUUGGUUUUGGAUGGACUCGCGGCCUAUCAGCUUGUUGGUGAGGUAAUGGCUCACCAAGGCGACGACGGGUAGCCGGCCUGAGAGGGUGACCGGCCACACUGGGACUGAGACACGGCCCAGACUCCUACGGGAGGCAGCAGUGGGGAAUAUUGCACAAUGGGCGAAAGCCUGAUGCAGCGACGCCGCGUGAGGGAUGACGGCCUUCGGGUUGUAAACCUCUUUCAGUAGGGAACAAGGCCAGACGUUGUCUGGUUGAGGGUACUUGCAGAAGAAGCGCCGGCUAACUACGUGCCAGCAGCCGCGGUAAUACGUAGGGCGCAAGCGUUAUCCGGAAUUAUUGGGCGUAAAGAGCUCGUAGGCGGUUUGUCGCGUCUGCCGUGAAAGUCCGGGGCUCAACUCCGGAUCUGCGGUGGGUACGGGCAGACUAGAGUGAUGUAGGGGAGACUGGAAUUCCUGGUGUAGCGGUGAAAUGCGCAGAUAUCAGGAGGAACACCGAUGGCGAAGGCAGGUCUCUGGGCAUUAACUGACGCUGAGGAGCGAAAGCAUGGGGAGCGAACAGGAUUAGAUACCCUGGUAGUCCAUGCCGUAAACGUUGGGCACUAGGUGUGGGGGACAUUCCACGUUUUCC